CUCCAGACUCCUACGGGAGGCAGCAGUGAGGAAUAUUGGUCAAUGGACGCAAGUCUGAACCAGCCAUGCCGCGUGCAGGAAGACGGCUCUAUGAGUUGUAAACUGCUUUUGUACGAGGGUAAACGCAGAUACGUGUAUCUGUCUGAAAGUAUCGUACGAAUAAGGAUCGGCUAACUCCGUGCCAGCAGCCGCGGUAAUACGGAGGAUUCAAGCGUUAUCCGGAUUUAUUGGGUUUAAAGGGUGCGCAGGCGGGAGAUCAAGUCAGCGGUAAAAUGUCGGGGCUCAACCCCGGCCGGCCGUUGAAACUGGUUUUCUAGAGUUGGAGAGGAGUAUGCGGAAUUCGUGGUGUAGCGGUGAAAUGCAUAGAUAUCACGAAGAACUCCGAUUGCGAAGGCAGCAUACCGGCUCCAUACUGACGCUGAGGCACGAAAGCGUGGGGAUCGAACAGGAUUAGAUACCCCGGUA
rnacentral:rRNA from 1 species